CCAGACAACCAAAGCCCUUUCUGUCAACAGUGAUUUUGCUGUGCAAAAGGAAUGCAAAUAACACGUACAACCACAUUCUGCUACAACACUUGCAGCUUAUUAUUGCAAUCCUUUCUUACUCCAUCCAUGUAGUUAUACAGUUAAGGUUUCUGUACAAUCCCUCAUUUUUUAUUUACCGUUGUCCAAUUGCAAUAUAAACACUACAAUAAGUAGUUUGUCUUUGUUUUUUUGCUUUUCA